AAGCCAGAGAGGUGAUGUGACAGAAAGGCCCAUGCUCUAAAGGAGCUGAAGGUCUGAUGGCAGCCAUGUAGAGCACAGUGAAGGGCAGGUGAAGGUCACAGAUGGUCCAUUUCCCUCAAGCUACUGCUACGCUAGGACUGCAUGGAGCUCCAGACCUGCGUGUGUGUGGGGCGGGUCGUUGGAACUGCUGAACCACAUCGGUCUUCCACCACCAACCACCCUUUUCCUCCUCUCAGAUGGGUCUGGGCUUCAUGCAGUUUGGCUUUGUGGCCAUCUACCUCUCCGAGUCCUUCAUCCGGGGCUUCAUGACGGCCGCCGGCCUGCAGAUCCUGAUUUCGGUGCUCAAGUACAUCUUCGGACUGACCAUCCCCUCCUACACAGGCCCAGGGUCCAUCGUCUUUACCUUCAUUGACAUUUGCAAAAACCUCCCCCACACCAACAUCGCCUCGCUCAUCUUCGCUCUCAUCAGCGGUGCCUUCCUGGUGUUGGUGAAGGAGCUCAAUGCUCGCUACAUGCACAAGAUUCGCUUCCCCAUCCCUACAGAGAUGAUUGUGGUGGUGGUGGCAACAGCUAUCUCCGGGGGCUGUAAGAUGCCCAAAAAGUAUCACAUGCAGAUCGUGGGAGAAAUCCAACGCGGGUUCCCCACUCCGGUGUCGCCUGUGGUUUCACAGUGGAAGGACAUGAUAGGCACAGCCUUCUCCCUAGCCAUCGUGAGCUACGUCAUCAACCUGGCUAUGGGCCGGACCCUGGCCAACAAGCACGGCUACGAUGUGGAUUCGAACCAGGAGAUGAUCGCUCUCGGCUGCAGCAACUUCUUUGGCUCCUUCUUUAAAAUUCAUGUCAUUUGCUGUGCGCUUUCUGUCACUCUGGCUGUGGAUGGAGCUGGAGGAAAAUCCCAG
rnacentral:sRNA from 1 species